AGUGAACGCUGGCGGUAGGCCUAACACAUGCAAGUCGAACGGCAGCACAGGAGAGCUUGCUCUCUGGGUGGCGAGUGGCGGACGGGUGAGGAAUACAUCGGAAUCUUCUCUGUCGUGGGGGAUAACGUAGGGAAACUUACGCUAAUACCGCAUACGACCUACGGGUGAAAGCAGGGGACCUUCGGGCCUUGCGCGAUUGAAUGAGCCGAUGUCGGAUUAGCUAGUUGGCGGGGUAAAGGCCCACCAAGGCGACGAUCCGUAGCUGGUCUGAGAGGAUGAUCAGCCACACUGGAACUGAGACACGGUCCAGACUCCUACGGGAGGCAGCAGUGGGGAAUAUUGGACAAUGGGCGCAAGCCCGAUCCAGCCAUACCGCGUGGGUGAAGGAGGCCUUCGGGUUGUAAAGCCCUUUGUUGGGAAAGAAAUCCAGCUGGCUAAUACCCGGUUGGGAUGACGGUACCCAAAGAAUAAGCACCGGCUAACUUCGUGCCAGCCGCCGCAGUAA
rnacentral:rRNA from 1 species